UAGAAGGGAACCUUUUCGACACAGUGGCUGCGCACACGCGUUACGGUGACAGGUACAGCCGGUGGGUUCAUAAAUGCCUUAAUGUGCAAGCCAGCAUUGACAGACCUAGUUCUUGUUCACCGAUCUAGGCUAUUUUAAGCCGGAGUGGUCUGUUUGGUUUCUUGUCUGCUUGCUUUUUCUGGUCCAGAAGCAGAGGAAUCUAUCUGGAUUCUAGUUCCAUUCUUUCUGGCUCUAAUUCUGUUUUAGCUUGAACGAAGACUGUUUGCUACUAAUGUCUUGUUGAGCCUUGACAUGCUGCUGUGCUCGUGUAACUGAAGGGCUUUCCUGAGAGAACAUAAUUAGCAAAAUGUAAAAAUUCCUAGAUGGCUCAGUGGGUAAUCAGGCUGAUGACCUGAGUUUGAUCCCUGGGACCCGCAUGAUGGAAAAGAGAGCUGAUUCACUCUCACAAGUUGUCCUCUGACCUCAAGUUGUCCUCUGACCUCCACACACAUUUGCCAUGGCACACACCCACACCCACACCCACACCCACACCCACACCCACACACACACACACACACACACAAAAGGUAAUAAAAUUUAAACUCCUAUAUUAUUUUUGUGUCCUGCUUUACAAGGGUAUGAACAUGGUGGUCAUCCUUGAGGUGUGACAGCCCCAGAAGGAUCUGCAGGAGCUACUGUAGACCAGGUCAUUUCAGGCCUGCUGAGGAGAACAGUGCUCUCCUCAGCCUGGAAGGCCCAACAGUAGUGGAGGACACUACUGUGAUUUGGGCCUAAAGUUUCAUUCAGAGGUGGAAACAAACGGAAGGAAAUUCAGCCACAGGGCACCGCUGCUCCUGAAGAAAUGAAUGUUUUCCUCCCAGAACUGAAUUACUGGUGUGCUGGGACUGGCAAAGACCAUGGAGGCCUGCUAAAGGAUGCUGCCCUCUGUGUGGUGAUGUACCCAAAUUUACCGUCAGCAAAGACCGAGCAGAUGGGGCUAUCUAGUCGUGGACUUCAACACUCCCAAACUGUAAGCUGUAUAAGCCUCUCUUCUGUAUAG
rnacentral:lncRNA from 1 species